GACGAACGCUGGCGGCGUGCCUAAUACAUGCAAGUCGAACGAGAGCGACCGGUGCUUGCACUGUUCAAUCUAGUGGCGAACGGGUGAGUAACACGUGGGUAACCUGCCCAUCAGAGGGGGAUAACAUCCGGAAACGGAUGCUAAAACCGCAUAGGUCUUCGAACCGCAUGGUUUGAAGAGGAAAAGAGGCGCAAGCUUCUGCUGAUGGAUGGACCCGCGGUGCAUUAGCUAGUUGGUGAGGUAACGGCUCACCAAGGCCGUGAUGCAUAGCCGACCUGAGAGGGUGAUCGGCCACAUUGGGACUGAGACACGGCCCAAACUCCUACGGGAGGCAGCAGUAGGGAAUCUUCCGCAAUGGACGCAAGUCUGACGGAGCAACGCCGCGUGAGUGAAGAAGGUGUUCGGAUCGUAAAACUCUGUUGUUAGAGAAGAACAAGUGCUAGAGUAACUGUUAGCGCCUUGACGGUAUCUAACCAGAAAGCCACGGCUAACUACGUG
rnacentral:rRNA from 1 species